AUUGAACGCUGGCGGCAGGCCUAACACAUGCAAGUCGAAGGGAGUGGCGAACGGGUGAGUAACACGUGAGUAACCUGCCCUUUUCUUUGGGAUAAGCCUGGGAAACUGGGUCUAAUACUGGAUGGAUUGGGAUGGGCUCGCGGCUUAUCAGCUUGUUGGUGGGGUGAUGGCUUACCAAGGCUUUGACGGGUAGCCGGCCUGAGAUGGUGGUCGGUCAACCUGGGACGGAUAUACGGCCCAGACUCCUACGGGAGGCAGCAGUGGGGAAUAUUGCACAAUGGGCGCAAGCCUGAUGCAGCCAUGCCGCGUGUAUGAAGAAGGCCUUCGGGUUGUAAAGUACUUUCAGCGGGGAGGCGUUACCCGCAGAAGAAGCACCGGCUAACUCCGUGCCAGCAGCCGCGGUAAUUC
rnacentral:rRNA from 1 species